rnacentral:rRNA from 1 species
GACGAACGCUGGCGGCGUGCUUAACACAUGCAAGUCGAACGGUGAAGCGCCUUCCUUUUUGGUGGGUGUGGAUGAGUGGCGAACGGGUGAGUAACACGUGAGUAACCUGCCCCCUUCUUCUGGAUAACCGCAUGAAAGUGUGGCUAAUACGGGAUAUUCUGGGUCUGUCGCAUGAUGGGUCUGGGAAAGAUAUUGUUUCGGUGGGGGAUGGGCUCGCGGCCUAUCAGCUUGUUGGUGGGGUGAUGGCCUACCAAGGCGGUGACGGGUAGCCGGCCUGAGAGGUGAGGGGGCACGGCGGGGAGUAGAACCCGGCCCGGACUCCGGAGGGGGGAGGGGGGGGGGGAUGUUGAAGAGGGGGAGCAGGCCUGAGGCAGGAGCGCCGGGGGAGGGAUGGAGGCCUUCGGGUUGGGACCCUUUUUGGCCAGGAAGGGAGGCCUGCCUUGUUUGUGGGUGGGUUAAGGGAAGGGGGAAAAGAAGCGCCGGAAAACUACGG